rnacentral:rRNA from 1 species
AGAGUUUGAUCCUGGCUCAGGAUGAACGCUGGCGGCGUGCCUAAUACAUGCAAGUCGCGCGGAGAAUGUAGCAAUACGUUCUUAGCGGCGAACGGGUGAGUAACGCGUUGGUGACCUGCCUCAAAGUGUGGGAUAACAGUUCGAAAGGAUUGCUAAUACCGCAUGUGAUCUCCGGGAUUGGAUGCCCGGUGAUUAAAGCUGAAAAGCGCUUUGAGAGGGACCUGCGUCCCAUCAGCUAGUUGGUAGGGUAACGGCCUACCAAGGCUAUGACGGGUAGGGGACCUGAGAGGGUGGCCCCCCACAAUGGAACUGAAACACGGUCCAUACACCUACGGGUGGCAGCAGUAGGGAAUAUUGCAUAAUGGGCGAAAGCCUGAUGCAGCAACGCCGCGUGUGCGAUGAAGGCCUUCGGGUCGUAAAGCACUUUUAGAGGGGAUGAGGAAGGACAGUACCCUCUGAAUAAGCCUCGGCUAACUACGUGCCAGCAGCCGCGGUAAUACGUAGGAGGCGAGCGUUGUCCGGAAUUACUGGGCGUAAAGCGCGCGUAGGCGGUUUCUUGCGUAGGCGGUGAAAGCCCCCGGCUCACCUGGGGGAGUGUCGCCUAAACGGGGAGACUUUGAGGGCGGUAGGGGCUGAUGGAACGCCCGGAGUAGCGGUGAAAUGCGUUGAGAUCGGGCAGAACACCAGUGGCGAAGGCGGUCAGCUGGGCCGUCCCUGACGCUGAGGCGCGAAAGCCAGGGGAGCGAACGGAAUUAGAUACUCCGGUAGUCCUGGCCCUAAACGAUGGCAACUAGGUGUGGGGGGUAUCGACCCCUUCCGUGCCGUAGCAUACGCAGUAAGUUGCCCGCCUGGGGAGUACGGCCGCAAGGCUAAAACUCAAAGGAAUUGAC